rnacentral:miRNA from 1 species
UAGAGGGAUCAGUUGCACUGGUUUGCCUGGGACUGAGGGGUUUCUGAGAUACAGAACUUUCAGUUGUACGUCCAGGAAAGUCCCAGGUAAACCUGGAGGAUUGGUUACCUUACAAAGUC